rnacentral:lncRNA from 1 species
CUUCCUGCCAGAGGAGUGGAGCGGAAUCCCACUCCAUCAGAGGUAGCGUUUGGCUGGUUGUGUAAGUCCAGACGCAGACGAGUGUGCUUGGAUGUCUUAGUGUUUUCCGUCUCUGUCAUUGUGUUGUGUUUACUCUUAUUCUUCACUAUGGGACAGACCGUGUCUACUCCUUUAUCUUUGACUAAGGACCAUUGGACGGACGUUAGGGCUAGAGGACAAAAUUUGUCAGUAAAAGUGAAGAAAAAGCCAUGGAUGACUUUCUGUUCCUCAGAAUGGCCUGUUUUUGGAGUAGGUUGGCCAGCAGAAGGAACUUUUUACUUACCCACCAUAAGGGCUGUGAAGGCCAUUGUUUUUCAGGAAGGACCAGGGUCGCAUCCAGACCAACAACCGUACAUCAUGGUAUGGGAGGACUUGGCACGCUACCCACCCCCGUGGGUUCGCCCAUUCCUCCCGCCUCUCCGCCCUGGCACCAAGAUUCUAGCCAUCCAAGAAAAUGGUGAGAAAGAGAAACCGAAACCACCGCUCGGGAGAGAUGAUGAUCGCAGCACACCAGUGACGAAACCCCCCAAGAUCUAUUCAGAGAUUGAAGAACCCCCUGAGUGGCCCGAUACCCCUCAACCCCCACCUUAUGCUCCCCAGCCCCAACCUUCAGCUCCCUCGGGACCCCUGCCUCAGGCCCCGGCCGGAGGAGGGGGUCCCUCCACAGGAACAAGGAGCCGGCGAGGAGUCACCCCUGAGGGGCCUGCGGAUUCAACUGUGGCGCUCCCCCUCAGGGCUAUUGGGGCUCCCCCUGCCGAUCCAAAUAGUCUACAGCCCCUACAGUAUUGGCCUUUUUCCUCUUCUGACCUUUACAACUGGAAAGCUCAUCACCCCCCUUUUUCAGAAAACCCUGCAGGACUCACUGGGUUGGUUGAAUCAUUAAUGUAUUCACACCAGCCGACCUGGGAUGACUGCCAGCAGCUUCUGCAGACUCUAUUCACAACCGAGGAGAGAGAGAGGAUUCUCCUCGAGGCUCGGAAAAAUGUCCGAGACGAGGCUGGGCGCCCUGUCCAAACUCCAGCUGAGAUAGAUGAAGGAUUUCCGCUAACCCGGCCCCGAUGGGAUUAUAAUACGGCAUCAGGUAGGGAACGACUGUCCAAUUAUCGCCGGGUCCUAGUGGCGGGUCUCAGAGGUGCUGCCCGGCAGCCCACGAAUCUGGCCAAGGUUACACCCCAACAGCCAGCCCUUGUUCGCUUUCGAAUGGCGAGACUCCGAGAGUGGACAAGCCGGACAGCUCACAUGGACGAGGCUGCCUCAGGGAUUCAAGAACUCGCCCACUUUGUUCGAUGAAGCCCUACACCGAGAUCUUGCUCUUUUCCGAGCCAAUAACCCACAGGUGACUCUUCUGCAAUAUGUAGAUAAUCUGCUCCUAGCUGCAGAAACACGCGAGGACUGUGAAAUUGAGACCCAAAACCUCCUGGGCGAGUUAGGUAAGCUGGGGUAUCGGGCCUCUGCUAAAAAGGCUCAGUUAUGCCAGAUAGAAGUGACCUACCUAGGAUAUGUCUUGAAAGAUGGACAACGGUGGCUCACAGAAGCCAGAAAACAAGCUGUUAUGCAGAUCCCGGCCCCAACCACUGCUCGCCAGGUAAGAGAGUUCCUGGGGACCGCCGGGUUUUGCAGACUCUGGAUUCCCGGAUUUGCCACACUGGCAGCUCCCUUAUAUCCACUAACCAAAGAGAAAGGGGAAUUCACCUGGACCAGAGAACAUCAGCUAGCCUUUGAAACUCUCAAAAAGGCACUGCUGCAGGCUCCGGCAUUGGCCCUGCCAGAUUUAAACAAACCUUUCACCCUAUACAUUGAUAAAAAAAAUGGAGUGGCAAGGGGAGUCCUUACCCAGGUUUUGGGACCAUGGAAGCGCCCGGUAGCCUACUUAUCAAAGAAACUGGACGCUGUGGCCAGUAGAUGGCCCUCCUGCCUGCGAGCGAUAGCAGCCACGGCUGUGCUAGUAAAAGAUGCUGACAAACUGACUAUGGGCCAGAAUGUUACUAUAGUGGCCCCACACUCUCUUGAGAGCAUCAUCAGGCAACCACCGGACCGCUGGAUGACCAACGCCCGAAUGACGCACUACCAGAGCCUAUUGCUGACAGAGCGAGUAAGUUUUGCACCCCCAGCCAUUCUCAACCCCGCCUCCUUACUACCUGAGGCUGACGAGGCCCCUGCACAUAAGUGUGAAGAAAUACUGGCAGAAGAGACUGGAAUCCGGCCAGACCUCACAGACCAACCUUGGCCAGGGGCGAUGACUUGGUUCACGGACGGAAGCAGCUUUGUGGUAAAAGGAAUUGUGGAAGAGAUAGUAAAAAACUGCCGUGCUUGUGCACUUACCAACGCUGGGUCUAGCAGGCUCCAGAAAAGAAAACGACUGCGAGGAGACAGACCUGGAGCCUACUGGGAAACUGACUUCACUGAGGUGAAACCGGCUAGGUGCCGCAUCAGUUUGAAGUAGGAGACGCAGUCCUGGUGAGGAGACACCGAGCGGGAAACCUAGAACCGAGGUGGAAGGGACCCUACUUGGUGCUACUGACAACGCCCACCGCGGUCAAAGUGGAAGGAAUCCCCACUUGGGUCCACGCAUCCCACGUUAAGAGAGCACCCCCUGGAGUCAGCCAUGAUGAGUGGACUUUAGAGAAGACUACUAAUCCUUUUAAGUUGCGCCUGCUUCGUAGGAGCGAUCCCAAAAGACUUCAACCCCCACAGUCCUGUUCAACAAACGUGGGAGGUACUCAAUGAGGGGGGUAGGGCUGUAUGGACAAUCGCUGAGGUACACCCUCUGUGGACUUGGUGGCCUAAUCUUUUCCCUGACAUCUGUAAGUUGGCUAUAGGAGCCCCUCCUGGAUGGGACUUGGAGGGGUACUCUGACAUUCAGAGGGCACCUUUAACACCCCCUCCGUACGUAGAAAAACAUUCGAGAGACCCAUGGGGUGGUUGCUCUAACCAAAGGGAUAGAAGUAUGCUUCGAACCCAUCCCUUCUAUGUCUGCCCCGGGCCCCACCGAAGUCAGUCCCUCAAUCCAACGUGUGGAGGUAAGGCUGACUUCUUUUGUAAGAGCUGGGGUUGCGAGACUUCAGGUACAGCCCGCUGGAAGCCCUCCUCGAGCUGGGACUAUAUUAGAGUAACAGCCAACUAUUCCCUAGCGUCUUAUGUACCUGGAGGAUUUGACCUAGACGAGUGUACUGACUGGUGCCAUCCGCUCCGUGUCACCUUCACUGAACCAGGAAAGAGAGCUCUGGGAUGGACAAAAGGGUAUACCUGGGGUCUUAGGAUUUACAAGGAAAGAUAUGAUGAGAGAUUAUUGUUCACUAUCAGAUUAAAAAUAAAGACCCCCUACAAUCCUUUAGGCCCCCCAACCAAGUUCACACCCCUCACCCAUACAAUUACUCAGCCUACUCCAGUGAUUGCGGACCCCCUUAAUAUGGCCGCUAUCACCCAACCUCCCACUCCUCAGGUACCUCUAACUAUUACCCCCGAGAUUCCUUCAAGACAGAGGAUGUUUAACCUAGUGAGAGGAGCCUUUUAUGCCCUUAACAGAACUGAUCCAAGCGCUACUGAGGACUGCUGGCUAUGCCUGUCCUCGGGUCCGGUCCGCCUUAUUAUAAAGGAAUCGCCUUCAAUGGAGAUUUCAACAGAACCAGCAGCCAUACUUCCUGCUCUUGGGGUACAGGACAAAAACUGACCCUGACUGAAGUAUCCGCGAGGAAUCCAGGUCUCUGUAUAGGUACCCCACCUUCCACUCACAAACACCUAUGCGGACAAAUUCAGUCCGUGUCCAGAACAGAAGCUGAUUACUAUCUUGUACCUUCCCCGGUUGGAUGGUGGGCUUGCAAUACAGGACUUACUCCCUGUGUAUCAACUAAGGUUUUUAAUUCAUCUCAUGAUUUUUGUGUCAUGAUCCAGCUGUUACCCCGUGUAUAUUAUCACCCUGCAUCCAGUUUAGAAGAAAGCUAUGCGGGCCGGCGGUCAAAAAGAGAACCAAUUACUUUAACCCUGGCUGCAUUCAUGGGAAUAGGUAUGGCAGUAAGAGUGGGGACGGGAGUGUCAGCUUUGAUAGAAGGAAGACAGGGAAUUCAGUCUUUGAGGGAUGCUGUCAAUGAAGACCUAGCGACAAUAGAGAAGUCCAUAGACGCUUUAAAAAAAUCUUUGACCUCCCUGUCUGAGGUAGUUUUACAGAACAGGAGAGGUCUUGAUUUGUUGUUCCUAAAGGAAGGAAGACUGUGUGCUGCCCUUAAAGAAGAGUGCUGCUUCUAUGCAGAUCAUACAGGAAUAGUUAGAGACUCUAUGCAGAAACUGAGAGAAAGAUUAGAGCGAAGGAAACGGGAACGGGAUGCUCAACGGGGGUGGUUUGAGUCGUGGUUUGAAUCACGACCAUCUUGGAUAACUUCUUUAAUUUCCGCUGUAGCCGGACCAAUCCUUAUGAUAUGCUUAGCUUUAGUUUUCGGCCCUUGUAUAAUAAAUAGAGGAAUGGCUUUCAUCCAGAGUAAAAUUGAUACAGUAAAACUCAUGGUUCUUCAAAGGCAAUAUCAACCUAUAGUUCAGGUAGAUGAAGAGUUAAGGGACACCGACCUCUAAAAUUCUAUGAUUAGAAUUAGUCUAAACAGAAAAAGAGGGGAAUGAAAGGAAAUAAAACUGUAAUUCAUGUAAUGUAUGUUAAAUAGCCCAAAGAGUUGUUUCUGAGCUUUGAAACCUGGGGCUGAGAACAUAGCAGAACAGACCAGGACAUGCCCGGGCAAGCCCAUCGCCUCCCUAGCUCCCACCCCUCUGACCUAAGUUAAAUGUUACAGGCUGCUGAUGUUUAAAUGGACCAAUCAUGUGAAACCGCGCCAAUUCCUCCCCCAGCCCCACUCCUUUUCUAUAAAACCCCCUAGCUUCCAAGCCUCGUGGUCGAAUCCACUGUCUCCUGUUGUGUGAGAUACGUUUCGACCCGGAGCUCCGCCAUUAAAAAACCUCUUGUUGUU